AUGGUUCUGUUAACUAACCGUGUUUCAGAACUGUUAGUUUCUCUAGUUCCAAAUAAUUAUAGUCUUCAUUCUAUUUGCAGUUCUUCUAAUCUCAACGCAGGUCACCUACUUUGUUUGCGGAUUGCUUUUCGUUCUGGUUGUAGAAGAACGGCUCUGGGAUUAUGCUAUUUCAGUAACUAUUCUUCAUGCUGUCAUCACUUUGGCUGGAAACACAUGCAGAAGGUACUGAUGUUUUAUUUCGCAUGAGGCUUUAAAAAAUGCACAUUUUUAAAUGAAUCAGAAAGAAGAUACCGGAAAGACAUGCUAUCAGUAUACGUAGGAAUGAUCUUUUCUCUCUAUGAAAAACAAGAACUUAUCUCCUGGAUUUUCUUCACAAAACCACAAGAUUUACUAAGCCCUAGGCAAUUCCAUCACAUGCUACCUGGAUGACAGGGAGAGUCGCUGUUGGCAAACUGGAAUGGCCAGCCGCAAUUUGCUAAAAUAGCUGGGUCGUGAUUUCAGUUUUAAGAACUGGGGUUGGGUUAACACAGGGAACGGCGGCCAAAUGAUGUCUGAGGUCAACUUCUGUGAUUUUCUUUGAGUUAAAAAUUAGAAAUUAGAAGAACAGUGGCUAAUCAUCUUGGAAACUCUACCUCGGGUUUCCCCUGGCUGCGUGUCUUGGGUGAAGACGUCGUGGAGUCCUGCCAAGCUUGUGGUCCACGGAGGGCUCUUACCUCAGGGACCUUCCAGUGGGAGUUAUACUGUUACUGCCGUACGAGGAGGAGCAGAUUUAUGAGAGCCCUGCUAGGCUGGAUUAAUAUUUUAAAACAAACAAGAAUCAUUGGGCCAAUGAAGUCAGAAUUAGAGGCAUCCUCAACUAACCAAAUAGCUAAGGUAGGUAUACUUGUGUUUUCAAAGUCUUUUCUAUACUAAAAAAUAGUUUCCAAGGUAGAGGAGAGCCUAUCUUAUAAUAGAGAGAAAAUACCUUAAAUAGCAGCAACACAAACAAAUGGCAGGUCUGAGUUGCUAACAGAAUUGAGAAUUGUAAAAUCCUUGGCAUGUGCUUUGACUUCAUUGCCUUUGAAUUUCUGAGUUUUAAGGGCUCCUUACUAUUAAUUUGACAGAACCACGCAUCUAUUCCCUGAAGGAAGUUUUGAAUUUCAACAAUUUAUCAGCACAGAGUAUAUACCUACUGUCUCUUAGCUGAAUCUAUAAACUGCCCUAUUUCAAAUGCUAUGUCAGUUUCAGGAACAUUAUUUUAGUCAUG
rnacentral:lncRNA from 12 species